GAACCGUCGUCGAGAGGCGGCGUUGAACGGACGGGAGUCAGCAGAGGCCAUAGUACAUGGGCGGGCGCUCGCCCGCGCAAGGGC
rnacentral:ncRNA from 1 species